rnacentral:lncRNA from 10 species
UUGAGGACUUCUAAGCCCUCUCACAUCAUCCAUCUAUUCCCAUUGAACCGAACCUUGCUUCAUAGUCACACUAAUCGCCAAAAGAGUUUCUGGCUAAGUGAGACCAAAGUACUCAUAACAACAAGCAUCUGUCAUCUACCAUAAUACUCUCUACUAUGGAUUUUAAUUGGUAGCAAUGAUUUCAAAACUUGACUGCUGUUGAGUUUUAGAUGAAUCAUCUUACCCAGCCCCUGCCCAUGCCUCCAACUGCAUCUUGAGCUACUCUCCAUUUGCUGAGGGCAUUUGCUCAGGACACUCCAGCUCCACUAGCCUUUUCCAGCUCCUCCAGCACUACGCUGACCUCCUUCCAACUCAUCCAACACAUCAAACUACUUCCUGCCUCAGAGCCUUCCCUCUGCUUGGACAUCUUUUUCUCCAUUUCUUGCUUGACCAACUUGUUUCUACUCAACUUCCAGAUUCCUGUUUUAAGGUUGGUUUUAAGAGCAGCCUUCUGAGAUCCUCCCAAGGUCAAGGGUUAGUCACCUGGUAAGAAGCUGCCAAUUGCAAAUAAGAGUGUGCACUUGCUGGAUGUCUUCUGUUUGCUCUCUUGACCCACCUUCUACCAUUCCCCACCUUCUUCUUUGCCUCCGGAAGGGAGCUUUCUGGACUGCACCAACAAGCUACUUUGUCCUCUGGCUUGUCCUCGGAUUCAGUCAGUGGGAGGUACCCACAAGGUGACUUAGAAGGCAGAAGAGGAAUGAGCACUUGGUCAUGUAAACAGAUCAUUGUCGUUUUCAAUGUGAAGUUACUUGGCUGCCUUGGAAAAAAGAUUGGAUCCCAUUAUGUUGCCCAGGUUGGCCUCAAACUCCCAGGCUCAAGUGAUCCUCCCGCCUCAGCCUCCUAAGUAGCUGGGACUACAG